rnacentral:rRNA from 1 species
UUAAGCGACUAAGCGUACACGGUGGAUGCCCUGGCAGUCAGAGGCGAUGAAGGACGUGCUAAUCUGCGAUAAGCGUCGGUAAGGUGAUAUGAACCGUUAUAACCGGCGAUUUCCGAAUGGGGAAACCCAGUGUGAUUCGUCACACUAUCAUUAACUGAAUCCAUAGGUUAAUGAGGCGAACCGGGGGAACUGAAACAUCUAAGUACCCCGAGGAAAAGAAAUCAACCGAGAUUCCCCCAGUAGCGGCGAGCGAACGGGGAGGAGCCCAGAGCCUGAAUCAGUGUGUGUGUUAGUGGAAGCGUCUGGAAAGGCGCGCGAUACAGGGUGACAGCCCCGUACACAAAAAUGCACAUACUGUGAGCUCGAUGAGUAGGGCGGGACACGUGGUAUCCUGUCUGAAUAUGGGGGGACCAUCCUCCAAGGCUAAAUACUCCUGACUGACCGAUAGUGAACCAGUACCGUGAGGGAAAGGCGAAAAGAACCCCGGCGAGGGGAGUGAAAAAGAACCUGAAACCGUGUACGUACAAGCAGUGGGAGCCUCUUUAUGGGGUGACUGCGUACCUUUUGUAUAAUGGGUCAGCGACUUAUAUUCUGUAGCAAGGUUAACCGAAUAGGGGAGCCGAAGGGAAACCGAGUCUUAACUGGGCGUUAAGUUGCAGGGUAUAGACCCGAAACCCGGUGAUCUAGCCAUGGGCAGGUUGAAGGUUGGGUAACACUAACUGGAGGACCGAACCGACUAAUGUUGAAAAAUUAGCGGAUGACUUGUGGCUGGGGGUGAAAGGCCAAUCAAACCGGGAGAUAGCUGGUUCUCCCCGAAAGCUAUUUAGGUAGCGCCUCGUGAAUUCAUCUCCGGGGGUAGAGCACUGUUUCGGCAAGGGGGUCAUCCCGACUUACCAACCCGAUGCAAACUGCGAAUACCGGAGAAUGUUAUCACGGGAGACACACGGCGGGUGCUAACGUCCGUCGUGAAGAGGGAAACAACCCAGACCGCCAGCUAAGGUCCCAAAGUCAUGGUUAAGUGGGAAACGAUGUGGGAAGGCCCAGACAGCCAGGAUGUUGGCUUAGAAGCAGCCAUCAUUUAAAGAAAGCGUAAUAGCUCACUGGUCGAGUCGGCCUGCGCGGAAGAUGUAACGGGGCUAAACCAUGCACCGAAGCUGCGGCAGCGACGCUUAUGCGUUGUUGGGUAGGGGAGCGUUCUGUAAGCCUGCGAAGGUGUACUGUGAGGUAUGCUGGAGGUAUCAGAAGUGCGAAUGCUGACAUAAGUAACGAUAAAGCGGGUGAAAAGCCCGCUCGCCGGAAGACCAAGGGUUCCUGUCCAACGUUAAUCGGGGCAGGGUGAGUCGACCCCUAAGGCGAGGCCGAAAGGCGUAGUCGAUGGGAAACAGGUUAAUAUUCCUGUACUUGGUGUUACUGCGAAGGGGGGACGGAGAAGGCUAUGUUGGCCGGGCGACGGUUGUCCCGGUUUAAGCGUGUAGGCUGGUUUUCCAGGCAAAUCCGGAAAAUCAAGGCUGAGGCGUGAUGACGAGGCACUACGGUGCUGAAGCAACAAAUGCCCUGCUUCCAGGAAAAGCCUCUAAGCAUCAGGUAACAUCAAAUCGUACCCCAAACCGACACAGGUGGUCAGGUAGAGAAUACCAAGGCGCUUGAGAGAACUCGGGUGAAGGAACUAGGCAAAAUGGUGCCGUAACUUCGGGAGAAGGCACGCUGAUAUGUAGGUGAAGCGCCUUGCUCGUGGAGCUGAAAUCAGUCGAAGAUACCAGCUGGCUGCAACUGUUUAUUAAAAACACAGCACUGUGCAAACACGAAAGUGGACGUAUACGGUGUGACGCCUGCCCGGUGCCGGAAGGUUAAUUGAUGGGGUUAGCGGUAACGCGAAGCUCUUGAUCGAAGCCCCGGUAAACGGCGGCCGUAACUAUAACGGUCCUAAGGUAGCGAAAUUCCUUGUCGGGUAAGUUCCGACCUGCACGAAUGGCGUAAUGAUGGCCAGGCUGUCUCCACCCGAGACUCAGUGAAAUUGAACUCGCUGUGAAGAUGCAGUGUACCCGCGGCAAGACGGAAAGACCCCGUGAACCUUUACUAUAGCUUGACACUGAACAUUGAGCCUUGAUGUGUAGGAUAGGUGGGAGGCUUUGAAGUGUGGACGCCAGUCUGCAUGGAGCCGACCUUGAAAUACCACCCUUUAAUGUUUGAUGUUCUAACGUUGGCCCCUAAUCGGGGUUGCGGACAGUGUCUGGUGGGUAGUUUGACUGGGGCGGUCUCCUCCUAAAGAGUAACGGAGGAGCACGAAGGUUGGCUAAUCCUGGUCGGACAUCAGGAGGUUAGUGCAAUGGCAUAAGCCAGCUUGACUGCGAGCGUGACGGCGCGAGCAGGUGCGAAAGCAGGUCAUAGUGAUCCGGUGGUUCUGAAUGGAAGGGCCAUCGCUCAACGGAUAAAAGGUACUCCGGGGAUAACAGGCUGAUACCGCCCAAGAGUUCAUAUCGACGGCGGUGUUUGGCACCUCGAUGUCGGCUCAUCACAUCCUGGGGCUGAAGUAGGUCCCAAGGGUAUGGCUGUUCGCCAUUUAAAGUGGUACGCGAGCUGGGUUUAGAACGUCGUGAGACAGUUCGGUCCCUAUCUGCCGUGGGCGCUGGAGAACUGAGGGGGGCUGCUCCUAGUACGAGAGGACCGGAGUGGACGCAUCACUGGUGUUCGGGUUGUCAUGCCAAUGGCACUGCCCGGUAGCUAAAUGCGGAAGAGAUAAGUGCUGAAAGCAUCUAAGCACGAAACUUGCCCCGAGAUGAGUUCUCCCUGACUCCCUGAGAGUCCUGAAGGAACGUUGAAGACGACGACGUUGAUAGGCCGGGUGUGUAAGCGCAGCGAUGCGUUGAGCUAACCGGUACUAAUGAACCGUGAGGCUUAACCUU